AAAAGGAAACCAUGUUAAUUUAUCAAAAUUGUCAAGAACUAUUACUAAUCCCAAGUGUUAAUCUGACUCCAUCAUGGAAUGAAAUAGGUGUAAUGCCAAGCACUUGAAUCAAUUUGCUGAUGUCCAUGGAUAUGUCUGCUGGGGAGACAACUCCGCGGUUUGCCUACAGAGACAAAGAUGCUGUCUGUAAAAGAUCAAACAUGAACUAUUACUAAUCCCAAGUGUUAAUCUGACUCCAUCAUGGAAUGAAAUAGGUGUAAUGCCAAGCACUUGAAUCAAUUUGCUGAUGUCCAUGGAUAUGUCUGCUGGGGAGACAACUCCGCGGUUUGGAACAUAAUACAUAAACACAAACAUGGUACAUAUUGAAUGAUAUAAAAGAACAUUGAUAAGCAUUGGUGCAAAGAGAAAAUAUAAGAUCAAAGAAACUCCUAAUUGUCAUCUGUACAUUUAUCUAGACAAGAACUUAUAACUCCAAGAGAGAAAACUUUGCAAUAUCAUGGUAGCCGUAAUUGCCUGAUAACCAAAACUUAUCUAGCGCUU
rnacentral:lncRNA from 1 species